GUGGUAAUUCUAGAGCUAAUACAUGCUGAAAACCCCGACUUCGGAAGGGGUGUAUUUAUUAGAUAAAAAACCAAUGCCCUUCGGGGCUCCUUGGUGAUUCAUGAUAACUCAACGAAUCGCAUGGCCUUGCGCCGGCGAUGGUUCAUUCAAAUUUCUGCCCUAUCAACUUUCGAUGGUAGGAUAGUGGCCUACCAUGGUUUCUACGGGUAACGGGGAAUUAGGGUUCUAUUCCGGAGAGGGAGCCUAAGAAACGGCUACCACAUCCAAGGAAGGCAGCAGGCGCGCAAAUUACCCAAUCCCGACACGGGGAGGUAGUGACAAUAAAUACUGAUACAGGGCUCUUUUGGGUCUUGUAAUUGGAAUGAGUACAAUUUAAAUCCCUCAAUCGUUAGGGGGUGCCAGCAGCUGCUAUUAAUUAGUGGCCACGCCCUUCUCGUUCGGGGAGCCCUGUCCGACAUCGGUCAGGGCGAUCCGAGGCCUCGCCUGCAGGUUCAGAGACUAGACAGGGGCGGGCGAGCCCGAAGGCUCGUUCAUGAGAUAGUCCGACCCGGUGGCUUGCGUCAUUGGUACAAGUGUAACGAGGAACAAUUGGAGGGCAAGUCUGGUGGGCACCUUCGUGUCUCGGCAGUGCAUCGUCGUGCACAUCUCCUGCUGACGCCAGCUAUUGAUCGACCUCCCGCCAUGGCGCCGAGGUUGAUCCAGUGGGCAUUGGCCCGCGAGGCAUUCGGCACGGGGAAAGGCCAUUCGUGGCUUCAUCCCGUGGGGAGAGGAGUUUAUCCUCACCCCUUAACGCGCGCAAGGGUGCCGGUGGUCGUGAGGAUCAUCUAAGGUACGUGCUAAUCCCGCCCGGAGGGGCAACAGCACCCUUCUUAGGGUGUUGUGUGGGCACAUUUUGGCCAGCAGCCGCGGUAAUUCCAGCUCCAAUAGCGUAUAUUAAAGUUGUUGCAGUUAAAAAGCUCGUAGUUGAAACUUGGCCUUGGCUGACCGGUCCGCCUCACCGCGUGCACUGGUUCGGCCGGUGAAAUUCUUGGAUUUAUUGAAGACUAACUACUGCGAAAGCAUUUGCCAAGGAUGUUUUCAUUAAUCAGUGAACGAAAGUUAGGGGAUCGAAGACGAUCGUAUCUGGUCGUCCAUAGCAAAUCUAGUCGGGGGCCUCGCCUCUGGCCACAUCAUCAAACUGAUGGGGCUCCCGCUUCCUGCGGCCGACCCACAGCCAAGCUCUUCGGAGUGCAGUCUACAGACUGUAUGUUGAUGGGCGGGCUUCGAGGAGCCCGUUUCUAAUAUAGUCGAGUCUUGUCGGACACCCGAUAAGGAUUCACGCAGAUACCGUCGUAGUCUUAACCAUAAACUAUGCCGACUGGGGAUCGGACGGUGUUAUUAUUUUGACCCGUUCGGCACCCUACGAGAAAUCAAAGUCUUUGGGUUCUGGGGGGAGUAUGGUCGCAAGGCUGAAACUUAAAGACAUUGACGGAAGGGCACCACCAGGCGUGGAGCCUGCGGCUUAAUUUGACUCGACACGGGGAAACUCACCAGGUCCAGACAUAUUAAGGAUUGACAGAUUGAGAGCUCUUUCUUGAUUAUAUGGGUGGU
rnacentral:rRNA from 1 species